UCCACAGUGAAAUGGUGGUUGUACAGUUGGUGAACAGCCCACAGAGAGGAUGCUGGAGCUGUGGCUAAGUGGGAAAUAGUGGCCCCUGGGAUUGCCAAGGCUGAGAGAGCCGCUGCCCGGCUGCGCCGCGCCCUCGCGGAUCGGGGAGUCCAAUUUAAGCCGGCGGAGUUGGCGGAGCGGAGGCGCUGCGGCGGCGGCGGACUCGGCGCGGCUCGGGCACCUCUCUUCCUUAUCUCUUACUCAAACUUCUCUGCUCCAACUCAGCUCCAUCGCCAUUGGUCUGACGCAGCGCGCGGGGACGUCAGGCGAGCGCCGCGCCCAUUGGCUGCGGGGCGCGGGGCGCAGCUGUUCUGAUUAUCAUAUUUCAGCCUCGUCGCUGCCGAGCGCCACUGACCGCUCGGCGAGCCCGCGGGAGAGGAUUAGGGCUCCCGGGGCAACUUGCUCGGGGCUCAGACCGCUCUCCCCGGCUGCUCGGGCUGCCCGGCUGCUCUGGCUUUUGGCCUCCCUCUCCUCCUCCUCCUGCCCCCUCCCGCGCUCCUUCCCGGCCGCGCCGCCAGCGCCCUCGCCUCCUGUCGCGCUGCUCCUCCGCCCUGCGCUCCUGGGGUCCCCGCUGUCCGGCUGGCCGUGUUGCGCGCGGGGCUCACUUUUCUGCCGCCGGUGGCGAGUGGCUGGUGGUUCUUCUUGGUGACGGCUUAUUGACGAUGAAUCAAGAGAAUCUGCGCUCUAAUUUCAGAGAAAAAGGGAAGGGAUCUUCUUUAUGUACCAUUGGCGUUCCUGGCAGACGGCAGCCCGGGAGGCAGCGUUCCUGUGCGGUCUGCUGCUCGGUUCUCAGCCAAGAUAGAAUUCCACGCUCCCGGCAGCGGCGAAGCCACAAACCUCAGAUCAGUGUUGAGAAUGCGAGGUUCCGCACCUCGUUGCCGGUAGCAAUUCGGCCAAGCGAGGACAGAAAUUUGCACCCUUCCUUUAACAUUGUGCUUUUGGAAGUGUUUAUUAUGAUUUCACAAAAGCAGCUGGCAGUGUCACGCGAAACCUUUCUCUUCCUUUUUUCAGUUUUUUUUGUUUUUGUUUUUUUUCUUUUUGAAACUCGAACUGACUAG
rnacentral:lncRNA from 1 species